rnacentral:rRNA from 1 species
UACGUAGGGUCCGAGCGUUGUCCGGAUUUAUUGGGCGUAAAGAGCUCGUAGGCGGCUCAGUAAGUCAGAUGUGAAAACUCAGGGCUCAACCCGGAGACGCCAUCUGAUACUGCUGUGGCUUGAGUCUGGUAGGGGAUCACGGAAUUCCUGGUGUAGCGGUGAAAUGCGCAGAUAUCAGGAGGAACACCGACGGCGAAGGCAGUGAUCUGGGCCAGUACUGACGCUGAGGAGCGAAAGCGUGGGGAGCAAACAGG